rnacentral:rRNA from 1 species
UUGGAGGGCAAGUCUGGUGCCAGCAGCCGCGGUAAUUCCAGCUCCAAUAGCGUAUAUUAAAGUUGUUGCAGUUAAAGAGCUCGUAGUUGAAUUUCGGGGUCAGUAGGCUGGUCGUGCCACAGGUAUGUACUGGUCUCACUGAUUCCUCCUUCCUGAUGAACCGUAAUGCCAUUAAUUUGGUGUUGCGGGGAAUCUGGACUGUUACUUUGAAAAAAUUAGAGUGUUUAAAGCAGGCUAACGCUUGAAUACAUUAGCAUGGAAUAAUGAAAUAGGACGAUCGAUCCUAUUUUGUUGGUUUCUAGGAUUGACGUAAUGAUUAAUAGGGAUAGUUGGGGGCAUUAGUAUUCAAUUGUCAGAGGUGAAAUUCUUGGAUUUAUUGAAGACUAACUACUGCGAAAGCAUUUGCCAAGGAUGUUUUCAUUAAUCAAGAACGAAAGUUAGGGGAUCGAAGACGAUCAGAUACCGUCGUAGUCUUAACCAUAAACUAUGCCGACUAGGGAUCGGAUGAUGUUAAUUUUUUAAUGACUCAUUCGGCGCCUUACGGGAAA